UUCUUUGCUUUGCCUUCUUCAUCUGAAGAAGAACAUCCAUGGCGUUCAGAAUUAAACGAGGGUUUCUUCUUCUCAACAUCCCCCUCAAGUUGGAGGGGAACGAAGUUACCCCUAACUUGCUUAGAACAUCCCGAUGAGAAACCCCAGAAAGGGACUUUGUGAAGAUAUAUGUGAGCUGAUCCUUGGAGGGAACAAAUGAAAGUGUAAUCAAGCCCGAAAGGAACUGCUGUCGCACAAAAUGACAGUCGAUUUCCAUGUGUUUUGUGCGUUCGUGAAAAAUUGGAUUCUGUGCGAGGUGGAUUGCUGCUCUACUGUCAGAAUGAAGGGGGGUUGGUAGAGUUACUAGUGCAAAGAGGUCAUCAAGCAGACAAACCAACCAGGUAAGCUCAGCAGUAACCCUUACCAUAGAUCUGUAUUCUGCUUAGGCAGAAGAUAAGGAAAUGGAAGCUUGCUUCUUUGAUUUCCACCAUAUAGGAGCACCUCUUAAAGUGAUAUAGAAACCACUAACAGAUCUUCGUGAAUCCUUGCAGGAGGCCCAGUUGGCAUCACAAAAAGCCAGUAAAGAGAAAGAUGGCUCAGAAGAUAGGAUAAUUCCUUGUCCUGGAUCAGAACUCAAAUACUUGAGAACUCGUAGAUCUGCAGAGUAGUGAGAAACACAUGGUUUCUGCAUAUAAUCACUAAAGCAAAACAAAGAUCUGGUCGUGUAUUUGUCAAAUGUUGAGCUUUCCCAUCGGAUGACGAUAAACAAUUGGAUUCUUCAGGUAUUGAGCAUCAUCAGCUUGAAGCUUGAAGGAAGGAUCCAAAGGAGAACUGACCUGAUGCAAAUGUGACACAUCAUAUUCCUGCAGCAUAUCCAAGGUGAAUUUUCUCUGAUUCACUAUGUAACCUGCCUUUUCCUUCAAACUUUCCAUACCAAGGAAAUAGUGAAUGUUUCCCAAGUUUUUGACCCUGAAUUUAGUGUUCACGAAGGAUUUAAUCCCUUGGAUCUCAUCCAAGUCAUCACCUGUAAUUAGUAUGUCAUCUACAUAAACUGCUAGAAUAGAAAUUACGUUCCUUGUACGCUUAAAAAAAUAAAGAGUAGUCAUUCAACAAAGAAGAAUAUCCCUUGAAACUUAGAGCACCAGCCAGUCUAGCAUAACAUUGCCUAGAUGCUUGCUUUAGACCAUAUAGUGAUAUCUUCAAAAGACAUACAUGUUUGGGACUGGGGGGAUCCAAACCUACUGGGAACUUCAUGUAGACCUCUUCUUGUAGGUCUCCAUGUAAGAAUACAUUAUUCACAUCCAGUUGAGAGACAGUCCAAUCCUUUUUGAGUGCAACAGUGAGAAGACACCUUAUGGUUGUCAUCUUAACCAGUGGUGAGAAAGUUUCACCAUAAUCUAUGCCUUCUCUCUGAACAUCCCCCCUCACCACCAAUCUUGCAUUUAAUCUUUCAACUUUCCCAUCUGACAAAUGUUUCACUUUGUAUACCCAUUUACAAGGUAAAUCCCUCUUCCCUUUAGGUAGCUCCACCACAUCCCAAGUGUGAUUGUUUUCUAAAGCUUUGAUCUCUGCAUUCAUAUCUUCUAUCCAACCUGGAUGUUGGCAUGCUUGGGUAAAUGUACAAGGUUAUGUUAGGGAGAAAGAGACUGUAGGACAUGGUUAUUAGGUGAGAGGGAUGAGAAAUUGCACUCUCUAGCCUGACAAGGGUGAGUGAAACAGGUUCUAGAUACAUCUGUGAACAUGAUGCUACCACAGACAAAAUCCUUUAAGUAAAGAGGUUGGCUAGUAACCCUUCCUGGUCUCCUUAAAGAAAUAGGAUCUUGAGACAUAGACAUAUGCAUGCUAAUAUAUGAAGACUCUAGUUCAGUGGUAACUUGAGGUGAGCUAGGUGAGUGUGAGAAAUGAGUAGGUGAAGAAGAGAAAGGGGUUGAUGGUAAAGAUGUGGGAUCAGCAGAUGGUUCAUGUUAUGAGUAUUCAGGCUGUUCCUGGUCUGGUGAGGGGGUUGAAAAGGUAGGUUCUGUGCUAAAAAUGGAAUUGUGAAAAAUAGAUUGAUGUGCUAGGUUGAUUUCUGUGAAAAGAAAGUGAGAUUCAUGAAAUCUUACAUCUCUUGACACAAAAACCUUUCUUGUUGAUAAGUCCAAUAGGUUAUAUCCCCUUUUUUGGAGAGGAUAACCAAGUAAAACACAAGUUGUUGUCCUUUCAUCAAACUUCCCUCUCCCUUAAGCCAGUGUAGAAGCAUAGCAUAAACAGCCAAAGUUUCUAAAAUAGUCAUACUUGGGUUUGUGUUGAAAUAGGACUUCAUAUGGUGUUUUUCCUUGAAGGACUUUAGAAGGCAACCUAUUGAGAAUGUGUGUGGCUAUUAAAAUGGACUCUCCCCAAUAGCACAUAGGCAAUCUGGAUUGAAACAUUAGACCUCUAGCAAUUUUCAAUAGGUGUUUAUGUUUCCUUUCAACAAUUCUAUUCUGUUGAGGUGUUGCCACACAAGAUAACUGAUAUAGAAUUCCUUCUGAAGCCAGAAAAGCUGCUUCCUGUGUACCUUUCCACAACUCCAAUGCAUUGUCAGACCUUAUCAUUUUUACCUUCACAUUGAACUUCCUUUCAACCAUAGAUAGAAAAGAAUUGAGCAUAGGAAAAGCAUUGCUCUUGGAAGAUAGCAAAAAUGCCCAAGUUCUUCUAUUAUAAUCAUCCACUAUAGCAAGGAAAUAUCUAAAACCAUUAUAUGUAUUUGACUUGUAAGGUCCCCAUGUAUCUAUAUGUAUGAGAUCAAAAAUGUGAUUAGAUCUAAUAAAACUGACAGAAAAAAGGUUCCUUGUCUGCCUUGCCUUAGGACAAAUGUCACAAAUAAAAUUAGGUUCAGAGUAACAAUGAAGAAAAUCUAACUGUUUCAUUGCUGAAAAUGGAAGAUGUCCCAACCUUACAUGCCAAAGCUUAACAUUAGAAACAACAUUAACAAGUACAAGACUAGAAAAUGACUCAGACUCUGAAAUGGAAUUUCUUCAUUUUUGAAUUGAAAAUACAUUAUUACUGAAUAACCCCUUAGACUUAACACUGCUAGGAUCAAAAAUGUAAAGACCCUCUUUAACUUCACCAAAAACUUGUGGACUCUUCAUUGAAAGGCCCUGCAACACACACCCAACAGGUGUGAGUAAUACAUCAUACUUGAACUGUAUGCAGAACCUAUUAACUGACAGCAAAUUGUACUUGAAAUCUAGAACAUGUAGGACAUUAUUGAGAACAUGACCUGGGAGAAUAGAGACACUUCCUAUAUGAGUGACAAUUACCUUGAAAGAGUUAGGUAAAUUGAUAUUUAAGGGUACAAGAAGUUGAGUAAGAAAUAAGAAAGAAUUAAGAUCAAAACACAUAUGUUCUGAGGCGCCUGAAUCAAUGAUCCAGGUGUAUGAAUUCGAAGUUGUAAACACUGAACCUGAGUAUUUUAGAAUAGUACCAGCUACUGCAUUAGCAUUUAUUUCUAAGUUUCCUGCUUGUGUGAGUUUUGCCUGCUUGUACAUGUUCACCAUUUCUGCUACUUGCUCUUUGGUGAGUUGGUUUUCAAAGUUGAUGUUAUUAGCAAUUCGUCCCCCUUGGGUCUCAUGGUCCUCAUGCGUGAGAACUGCAUUUCCCUUGAUCUGAUUCUGAUAGCUCUUCUGAUUAGUGAAUUCAAAGUCAUCUGACCCAAUAAUUCUAUAACAGUCUUCUUGUGUGUGCCCUGUUUUUCCACAAUAGGUACAUGAUACAUUUGGAUUGUACCUAUUCCUUCCUUUGAACUUCUGUUGUGGUUUAUUGAAUUUCUGUCCUUGAUUAUUGUACUUCUGUCCCAGUAAUGUUCCCUUUUGUGUUUGAUUUCUGUUUUUUUGAAAGUUUCUAUCAUGUCCUGCCACCAUGAAAGCUGCAAAAUCUGCUAACAAUUGGGCAUUAGGUUGCUUGACAUCUCCAGCUGCAAUGAAUGAUAGUGAUUCUGAGUUGAAACUUGUAUUAGCAUAGACUUCUCUUUGAUUCUAAUCUUGUAAGAGAAGUGAAUAGGCAACAUCUAUGGCAGGAAGAGGAUUCAUCAUGAGGAUGUUUCCUCUUGCCUGUGCAUAUGUGUCAUUUAACCCCAUGAGAAAUUGGAUCAACCUCUUAUCCUCCAGUGACUUAGCUAACUUUGCCUUCCCUUCACAAACACACACACAUGAGCAUCAUAUAAUAACAUUCAAAGCAUCUAACUCAUCCCAUAAACGUUUGAGUUUGGUGAAAUAUCCUGCAAUAUCACUGUUCCCUUGUAAUAAUCCUGUUAGUUCCUUUUGCAGAUGGUAGAGUUUAGCUCCAUUUGACUUGCCAAACCUCUGCUCCAAGCUUUCCCAAAGCUCCUUUGCAGUUUUGGAGUAGAUUACACUGUCAGAAAUGUCUUUUGAAAGAGCAUUGAGAAUCCAGGAGAUGACCAUGUUGUUGGAAACACGUUCUCAAGGCAUUAUACUAAAC
rnacentral:lncRNA from 1 species